ensembl:lncRNA
AGCAGGAACUAAAUAUGUCUGCCUUCCCUCAGCAAUCUAUCUGCCAAAAGCCUUGGCUUGUCUGCAAGAAGAGGCAGCUGGAGCACAAUUUAAGAGAGAACUGAUUAUAACGUGGCCUCUGCAAGCAAUGUCCACCCUCAGCAUGUCAACACCCUGAGAGACACCGGGAAGAAACUAGCCUGGAGUGCUGAUGUCAGAGGAAUCUGAUGGACACUGUGUGCGUCACUGCUUUGAGUGAGAGGAAAGGGUCAUCUCAGGGAGGGAGGGCAGACAGCAAACAAGGACCUCGAAGAUCACUUGCUCAGAGGAUGAGAGGGGAAAGAGGUCAGUUCCUGACCAGCAGCUCAAAACAAAUCCAUUGUUCUGAGUGAGACUGUAUCGUCCCUCUUUCACCAGGUGUUACCUGGAAAAUCCAUCUGUGGGUUCCCCCUCCUUUCCCUAUUCCUCUGCCCUGGCUGCUCGGGGAAUGGGGAAAUUCCUGAGACAGCUGUAAUGGCACCAGCUUCCUGGCCAGUCUUGCCUCACCUUCCUAGAGGAAAAAUAGCAGAUCUCAUCUGAUGCCCAGAGGAGGAAGCACCCGGCAGUCCCGAGACAGACCAUCUUUUUGGCAGAAGCACCACAUCCCAUGCAGGUCCAGUCCUCAUCUCAUGACUUCCUCUGCUGUCACCAUGGCGCCGUACAUAAACAUUGCGAACUCUCAGCCUUGAGCAGGUCAUUUAUUUCAAAUAUUCCAUGCAGCUGGAACACAAGCCUGUUUGGGUGUCUGGAGUCGAGCAUGAACUAAUUUCUCAGUCUUCUGCACUUGCCCCACCUUACGGGCCCUCCCCAGUCCGUUGUGCUCCCAGCACCCCUCCAAAUCACACUUCAGCAAAGCAGAGGCAGCCUUACCCUGAAGUUUGCAAGAAACAUUUUUCACUCAGGUCCCCCACUACCCGCAGCAGAACAAAACAGCAAUUAUUCAGCAUGCUGAGUACUUAACCUAGGAUCCACAAACAAUUGUCUUCUAUGAAUGGGAAAAACAAACAAGAUGAAGACUUCCAAAAUCAAAAAAAUUAUUGCCAUGACUGGAGAUGGAUAAGAAACAACUUUUUUUUAAAAGAAAAAAAAUCUCUCUCACCCAGUACCCUUAUAAGGAAGUUCACGAGCAUACUUCUGAGCUUUAGUUGAGCCUCACAUUUUGUAGUGUUUAUGUGAACUGAUGAAAUCAUUUGCUUUUCACACGCAAGUUGGUAGCUGCAGGCAAGAUGGAAAAGUACGAGGACAGGAGGCAGAAGUAAAGCCUUUGUCAUAACUGAUGUUAAGUUCAAAGCCAUCUCAGCUCUGAUCUGUCUGGAGCUGCUGAUAGAAUUUGAGAACACCUAUGUACUGCUCAGUACUGGAAGUAGAAGAGACUGAAGACCUUAAUAGCAAGCAAGAUACAGUUUCUGCUCCAGAAACAGUAUAAUCCACAACACUUCACAGCCCAGGAAUGAAGCCUCUUGUGCAAACAGAUCUGUCAAAAUUGACCACAACUUACAGCAGUGGGUAGGGAAUGACUAAAAAUUAACAUCAGGUGACUUGAGCUAAAUCAAGGUGGUAAGCUGAGAGUGUCCAGAACACACUGAAGUCAGACUUUCUGAGUGCACAUGUUCCAGUGCCAGCUCUCACCACUUGACUUGACCCACCACAGCACUUCCAGUAGUUUGUAUGCUGUGCUACUGGCUUGAGGAUCCAUUUUAUUUCACUUUUUGUCCACUGUCUCCCUUCCUAAGAGGGAAAGGAGAAGUCAGGUAGCAAAAUGAAGUGAUAGGUUAGAGCCUUGUUUCUAUACGAGCUGCUCUUCUGGAAGAAAAAAAAAAAGCUUACCUGCUGCAAUAUAGGAAUAAAGUCUGACAAGAUAACU